GACGAACGCGGCGGCGUGCCUAAUACAUGCAAGUAGAACGCUGAAGAGAGGAGCUUGCUCUUCUUGGAUGAGUUGCGAACGGGUGAGUAACGCGUAGGUAACCUGCCUGGUAGCGGGGGAUAACUAUUGGAAACGAUAGCUAAUACCGCAUAAUAGCAGUUAUUGCAUGAUAACUGUUUGAAAGGUGCAAAUGCAUCACUACCAGAUGGACCUGCGUUGUAUUAGCUAGUUGGUGAGGUAACGGCUCACCAAGGCGACGAUACAUAGCCGACCUGAGAGGGUGAUCGGCCACACUGGGACUGAGACACGGCCCAGACUCCUACGGGAGGCAGCAGUAGGGAAUCUUCGGCAAUGGACGGAAGUCUGACCGAGCAACGCCGCGUGAGUGAAGAAGGCUUUCGGAUCGUAAAGCUCUGUUGUAAGAGAAGAACGAGUGUGAGAGUGGAAAGUUCACACUGUGACG
rnacentral:rRNA from 1 species